CACGCUGUAAACGAUGAGUGCUAGUUGUCGGCAUGCAUGCAUGUCGGUGACGCAGCUAACGCAUUAAGCACUCCGCCUGGGGAGUNCGACGCGCAGAACCUUACCACCUUUUGACAUGCCUGGACCGCCGGAGAGAUCCGGUUUUCCCUUCGGGGACUAGGACACAGGUGC
rnacentral:rRNA from 1 species